GGGACAUCUGGACUUCUUGCGUACAUCUGAUGGAUGAAGAUUUUUAAUGGUGGAAAAGAUAGAGACAGAGGGAAGGUGGAUGUGCCGUUCCUGGUUUUAAGCAGGUUUCUCUAAGGAGACGAGGUCUGCAGCGAAGUGUCCGUGAAGGAAGCGGGGACUGGAAGAUGUGAAGCAGGGCUCCUCUUCCCCACCCCGGCCCCAGCCCCAUGGCUGGCAUGGACAACAGGAGCCUACGCAAACUUUGAGAAUGUUCUUUAUCUUGGUGAUGGAAAGGCUCGCAAUCUCUUGGAAAGAUGUGAAGAGGUGAUACUUGUGCUAGAGCUCAGAAGAGGAUACACCAAGCUAUGGCUUUUGCAUGCUGAAAAAGUGAAAAGACAUUGAAGAAGCUCAGAACCAAGUUCUCUCUGAUCUUUGCCUUCCUGACUCUUGCCUCCCAUUUUCCAAAGACAGACUCACAGAAACCACAAUUCCUCUACCCCAAGGUGGAUUACGAAAACCAGAGCCCCCUUCCUCCAAAUCAAGCUGUGAAAGCUACAAAUAUUACUCCACCAUUCCCUGC
ensembl:lncRNA